CUUCCACAAUGGACGAAAGUCUGAUGGAGCAACGCCGCGUGAGUGAAGAAGGUUCUCGGAUCGUAAAACUCUGUUGUGAGGGAAGAACAAGUACCGGAGUAACUGCCGGUACCUUGACGGUACCUCAUUAGAAAGCCACGGCUAACUACGUGCCAGCAGCCGCGGUAAUACGUAGGUGGCAAGCGUUGUCCGGAAUCAUUGGGCGUAAAGCGCGCGCAGGCGGUCCCUUAAGUCUGAUGUGAAAGCCCACGGCUCAACCGUGGAGGGUCAUUGGAAACUGGGGGACUUGAGUGCAGAAGAGGAAAGCGGAAUUCCAAGUGUAGCGGUGAAAUGCGUAGAGAUUUGGAGGAACACCAGUGGCGAAGGCGGCUUUCUGGUCUGUAACUGACGCUGAGGCGCGAAAGCGUGGGGAGCAAACAGGAUUAGAUACCCUGGUAGUCCACGCCGUAAACGAUGAGUGCUAAGUGUUAGGGGGUUUCCGCCCCUUAGUGCUGCAGCUGACGCAUUAAGCACUCCGCCUGGGGAGUACGGUCGCAAGACUGAAACUCAAAGGAAUUGACGG
rnacentral:rRNA from 1 species